UACGUAGGUGGCAAGCGUUGUCCGGAAGUCACUGGGCGUAAAGCGCACGUAGGCGGAUCUUUAAGUCAGGGGUGAAAUCCCAAGGCUCAACCUUGGAACUGCCUUUGAUACUGGGGAUCUCGAGUCCGGAAGAGGUUGGUGGAACUGCGAGUGUAGAGGUGAAAUUCGUAGAUAUUCGCAAGAACACCAGUGGCGAAGGCGGCCAACUGGUCCGGUACUGACGCUGAGG
rnacentral:rRNA from 1 species